rnacentral:rRNA from 1 species
UACGAAGGUCCCAAGCGUUAUCCGGAUUUAUUGGGUUUAAAGGGUGCGUAGGCGGACUAUUAAGUCAGUGGUGAAAGCCCCCAGCCUAACUGGGGAACUGCCAUUGAUACUGAUGGUCUUGAGUACAUUUGAGGUGGGCGGAAUGUGUCAUGUAGCGGUGAAAUGCUUAGAUAUGCCAUAGAACACCAAUUGCGAAGGCAGCUGGCUAGACCUGGAUUGACGCUGAGGCACGAAAGCGUGGGGAGCGAACAGG